rnacentral:rRNA from 1 species
GAUGAACGCUAGCGGCAGGCUUAACACAUGCAAGUCGAGGGGUAGAGGUUGCUUGCAACCUUGAGACCGGCGCACGGGUGCGUAACGCGUAUGCAACCUACCUUUUACAGAGGGAUAACCCAGAGAAAUUUGGAUUAAUACCUCAUAGUAUAUAACCUUCGCAUGUUGGUUAUAUUAAAGUUCCAACGGUAAAAGAUGGGCAUGCGUCCUAUUAGCUAGAUGGUAAGGUAACGGCUUACCAUGGCUACGAUAGGUAGGGGUCCUGAGAGGGAGAUCCCCCACACUGGUACUGAGACACGGACCAGACUCCUACGGGAGGCAGCAGUGAGGAAUAUUGGACAAUGGGCGCAAGCCUGAUCCAGCCAUGCCGCGUGCAGGAAGACGGUCCUAUGGAUUGUAAACUGCUUUUGUACGGGAAGAAACACUCCUACGUGUAGGAGCUUGACGGUACCGUAAGAAUAAGGAUCGGCUAACUCCGUGCCAGCAGCCGCCGUAAAAC